rnacentral:rRNA from 1 species
GCAGUCGACGGUGAAGCCAAGCUUGCUUGGUGGAUCAGUGGCGAACGGGUGAGUAACACGUGAGCAACCUGCCCUGGACUCUGGGAUAAGCGCUGGAAACGGCGUCUAAUACUGGAUAUGAGACGUGAUCGCAUGGUCGUGUUUGGAAAGAUUUUUCGGUCUGGGAUGGGCUCGCGGCCUAUCAGCUUGUUGGUGAGGUAAUGGCUCACCAAGGCGUCGACGGGUAGCCGGCCUGAGAGGGUGACCGGCCACACUGGGACUGAGACACGGCCCAGACUCCUACGGGAGGCAGCAGUGGGGAAUAUUGCACAAUGGGCGAAAGCCUGAUGCAGCAACGCCGCGUGAGGGAUGACGGCCUUCGGGUUGUAAACCUCUUUUAGCAGGGAAGAAGCGAAAGUGACGGUACCUGCAGAAAAAGCGCCGGCUAACUACGUGCCAGCAGCCGCGGUAAUACGUAGGGCGCAAGCGUUAUCCGGAAUUAUUGGGCGUAAAGAGCUCGUAGGCGGUUUGUCGCGUCUGCUGUGAAAUCCCGAGGCUCAACCUCGGGCCUGCAGUGGGUACGGGCAGACUAGAGUGCGGUAGGGGAGAUUGGAAUUCCUGGUGUAGCGGUGGAAUGCGCAGAUAUCAGGAGGAACACCGAUGGCGAAGGCAGAUCUCUGGGCCGUAACUGACGCUGAGGAGCGAAAGGGUGGGGAGCAAACAGGCUUAGAUACCCUGGUAGUCCACCCCGUAAACGUUGGGAACUAGUUGUGGGGACCAUUCCACGGUUUCCGUGACGCAGCUAACGCAUUAAGUUCCCCGCCUGGGGAGUACGGCCGCAAGGCUAAAACUCAAAGGAAUUGACGGGGACCCGCACAAGCGGCGGAGCAUGCGGAUUAAUUCGAUGCAACGCGAAGAACCUUACCAAGGCUUGACAUAUACGAGAACGGGCCAGAAAUGGUCAACUCUUUGGACACUCGUAAACA